CGCAGCAGCAGCAGCAGUUAUUAACCCUCCACCUGCACUGACCUCGCCUUCAGCUCCUUCCGCGCUUUUAUACAGCGGUGAAGGGGAGGCUCUCAGAGUAUUAGCUUUGAACCUAUACGAUUUGCGUGCAUGUGGUCACUUUGCAUUAGGCUGCAAACCGCCAAUGGCCACUCCUCAUCAUUGUUGACUUGUCUCCCAGUGAAGAUAACCAAGCCCCAGACCAAACCCAUGUGUUUCUCAAAUACAUCAUGUCAACCACUUACUUGCUCAGUAAGUUACAGCUGCAUCUGUGCUUGUCCAAACACACGACCGAUCCCAUGUGUUGUUCCAACAUGUCGUCUAAAGUUACAGAAACCUCACCGCGAUAUAGUACAGUGAAGACUGGACAGACACCUGUAGGGUACAAGAUGAUUAUCUGCUGAUCCUCACUAAACAGGUCGCAGUGGAUCCGGAGACUAUCCCAGAAACACGGGACACAAGAGGGGAUACACCCUGAAGGAGAUGCCACUCCAUUGCAGGGCACCAUGGACACACUCAUUCACACCAAGCGUUGUCAGAUGUUUUUGGAGGUGGGAGGAAACUUCUGGUUUGGAGCAAAUCCACUUGGACACUUAGAAAGCAUGUGAAACUCCACUGAGGGAACUUAGAGCUGUGAGGUAAAAGACUACCUGCUGAGCAACAAUGCUACUUGGAUGCAAAACAAUUAAAAGCAACUUAUGAUUUAUGGGGCAGUGGUGGUUUCGCGAUUAAGGCUCUGGGUUACUGAUCGGAAGGUCAGGGGUUCAAGCCCCAGCACUGCCAAGCUACCUCUGUUGGACCCUUGAGCAAGGCCCUUAACACUCUCUGCUCCAGGGACGCUGCAUCAUGGCAGAACCGGUGCUCUGACCCCAACCUCCUGACUUGCUGGGGUAUGUGAAGAAAAGAAUUUCACUGUGCUGUAUGUGUGAUCAAUAAAGACUCAUUAUCAUUAUGAUUUACAUUGCUGUAUGAAACUUAAUGUUGACCUUGGGAACACAAUUCCUUUUGAUCCACAUUUACUUACAUCUUGAUGAAUGAAAAACAUUCAGAGCAAAGAAAGGUUGUGUACAAAUUUAUUAAGAACACAGAAGCAGCAGGACUUGGAACAUAGAACCUACUAAAAAGAAAUUAUACAGUCAAUAACAGUCCUAAAGCACAUUCCAUAAGAAUGCAUUGUCAUUAGAGUUUAACUUAAAGCUUCCUAUUUGCUAAUUGACUGCCAAUGUGUUUUCAUGCAAAUUAUUUUUCAAUGUUCAGACCACAUUGGUGUAAUACAUUAAAGAAAUUAUUGAUACAUUUCACUUGUUGGACAUAAAAUGGUCAGUUACUAUAAGUACUAGUCUCAGCUACUUGAUCAUCAGGGAUCCAUCAUAAAGCCACACAACACCCUUCUACCUCACAACCACCAGGAGAAAAGUUUGGUUUCUCUCAUAAAAAUAAGAUCUGACCCUGUAUUUGACUGUCUGUAGAUUUCAUACACAUCUUUGUUGAGUUAGAAAUGCUGUGAGGCAGCCAAAGUGUAAAUCUGGGUUGGUGAAUAUCUGGUAGAUUUAUGGUACACUUAUUUAUUGUAGAUUUAGUACUGCAGCGCUGCACCUGGGCAAAGAGGUUCGAGAAAUGAGACCAAUAUGUCUGUCAGCAAGGUAUUAAAAAACCCAAAUCCUUUAUACAUAAAACAUUUUCAGACUCUUUUUUUUUUUUUUUUUU